AGAGUUUGAUCAUGGCUCAGAACGAACGCUGGCGGCAGGCUUAACACAUGCAAGUCGAACGCAUCCUUCGGGGUGAGUGGCAGACGGGUGAGUAACGCGUGGGAACGUGCCCUUCAGUUCGGGAUAACCCAGGGAAACUUGGGCUAAUACCGGAUACGUGCGAGAGCAGAAAGAUUUAUCGCUGAAGGAUCGGCCCGCGUCUGAUUAGCUAGUUGGUGGGGUAAUGGCCCACCAAGGCGACGAUCAGUAGCUGGUCUGAGAGGAUGAUCAGCCACAUUGGGACUGAGACACGGCCCAAACUCCUACGGGAGGCAGCAGUGGGGAAUAUUGGACAAUGGGCGCAAGCCUGAUCCAGCCAUGCCGCGUGAGUGAUGAAGGCCUUAGGGUUGUAAAGCUCUUUCGUCCGGGACGAUAAUGACGGUACCGGAAGAAGAAGCCCCGGCUAACUUCGUGCCAGCAGCCGCGGUAAUACGAAGGGGGCUAGCGUUGUUCGGAAUCACUGGGCGUAAAGGGCGCGUAGGCGGCUUUAUAAGUCGGGGGUGAAAGCCUGUGGCUCAACCACAGAAUUGCCUUCGAUACUGUAGAGCUUGAGACCGGAAGAGGUAAGUGGAACUGCGAGUGUAGAGGUGAAAUUCGUAGAUAUUCGCAAGAACACCAGUGGCGAAGGCGGCUUACUGGUCCGGUUCUGACGCUGAGGCGC
rnacentral:rRNA from 1 species